rnacentral:rRNA from 1 species
UACGUAGGGUGCGAGCGUUGUCCGGAAUUAUUGAGCGUAAAGAGCUUGUAGGUGGCUCGUCGCGUCGGGAGUGAAAACCCGCGGCUUAACCGCGGGCCUGCUUUCGAUACGGGCGGGCUAGAGUUCGGCAGGGGAGACUGGAAUUCCUGGUGUAGCGGUGGAAUGCGCAGAUAUCAGGAGGAACACCGGUGGCGAAGGCGGGUCUCUGGGCCGAUACUGACACUGAGAAGCGAAAGCGUGGGGAGCGAACAGG